rnacentral:rRNA from 1 species
AUUGAACGCUGGCGGCAGGCCUAACACAUGCAAGUCGAACGAGUGGCGGACGGGUGAGUAAUGUCUGGGAAACUGCCUGAGGGAGGGGGAUAACUACGGGAAACGGUAGCUAAUACCACAUAACAUCGGAUGUGACCAGAUGGGAUUAGGUAGUAGGUGGGGUAAAGGCACACCUAGGCGAAGAUCCCUAGCUGGUCUGAGAGGAUGACCAGCCACACUGGAACUGAGACACGGGCCAGACGCCUACGGGAGGCAGCAUGGGGGAAUAUUGCACAAUGGGCGCAAGCCUGAUGCAGCCAUGCCGCGUGUAUGAAGAAGGCCUUCGGGUUGUAAAGUACUUUCAGCGGGGAGGCGUUACCCGCAGAAGAAGCACCGGCUAACUCCGUGCCAGCAGCCGCGGUAAUAC